UACGUAGGGGGCAAGCGUUGUCCGGAUUCAUUGGGCGUAAAGAGCGUGUAGGCGGCCAGGCAGGUCGGUUGUGAAAACUGGAGGCUCAACCUUCAGAGGUCGACCGAAACCAUCUGGCUAGAGUCCGGGAGAGGAGAGUGGAAUUCCUGGUGUAGCGGUGAAAUGCGCAGAUAUCAGGAAGAACACCCGUGGCGAAAGCGGCUCUCUGGAGCGGUACUGACGCUGAGACGCGAAAGCGUGGGGAGCGAACAGG
rnacentral:rRNA from 1 species